UGAAGUCGGAAUUGCUAGUAAUCGCGGAUCAGCAUGCCACGGUGAAUACGUUCCCGGGCCUUGUACACACCGCCCGUCACACCAUGGGAGCCGGUAAUACCCGAAGUCAGUAGUCCAACCUCGUGAGGACGCUGCCGAAGGUAGGAUUGGCGACUGGGGUGAAGUCGUAACAAGGUAGC
rnacentral:rRNA from 1 species